CCUACGGGAGGCUGCAGUGGGGAAUAUUGCACAAUGGGCGCAAGCCUGAUGCAGCCAUGCCGCGUGUAUGAAGAAGGCCUUCGGGUUGUAAAGUACUUUCAGCGGGGAGGAAGAGAGUAAAUUUAUGACCUUUGCUCAUUGACGUUACCCGCAGAAGAAGCACCGGCUAACUCCGUGCCAGCAGCCGCGGUAAUACGGAGGGGGCAAGCGUUAAUCGGAAUUACUGGGCGUAAGGCGCACGCAGGCGGUUUGUUAAGUCAGAUGUGAAAUACCCGGGCUCAACCUGGGAACUGCAUUUGAGACUGGCAAGCUUGAGUCUCGUAGAGGCGGGUGGAAUUCCAGGUGUAGCGGUGAAAUGCGUAGAGAUCUGGAGGAAUACCAGUGGCGAAGGCGGCCCCCUGGACGGAGACUGACGCUGAGGUGCGAAAGCGUGGGGAGCAAACAGGAUUAGAUACCCCAGUAGUC
rnacentral:rRNA from 1 species